rnacentral:rRNA from 1 species
AGCGAACGCUGGCGGCAGGCCUAACACAUGCAAGUCGAACGGAUCCUUCGGGAUUAGUGGCGGACGGGUGAGUAACACGUGGGAACGUGCCCUUUGGUUCGGAACAACUCAGGGAAACUUGAGCUAAUACCGGAUAAGCCUUUCGAGGGAAAGAUUUAUCGCCAUUGGAGCGGCCCGCGUAGGAUUAGCUAGUUGGUGGGGUAAAGGGACCCGACCCAACGGAC